CAAUAGCGUAUAUUAAAGUUGUUGCGGUUAAAAAGCUCGUAGUUGGAUUCCUGUAUGGAAGGGGCGUCCCCACCCUUUGGAUGGGGGUUGGCUGCCUUCUUUGCAUCUUCCGGAGUAGAUGUUCCUCACUUCACUGUGAGGACAUUAUGCUCGGGUCAUUUACUUUGAGGAAAUUAGAGUGUUUCAAGCAGGCAUACGCCUUGAAUACAUUAGCAUGGAAUAAUAAGAUAGGACCUCGGUUCUAUUUUGUUGGUUUCUAGAGCUGAGGUAAUGAUUAAUAGGGAUAGUUGGGGGCAUCCAUAUUUAACUGUCAGAGGUGAAAUUCUUGGAUUUGUUAAAGAUGAACUACUGCGAAAGCAUUUGCCAAGGAUGUUUUCAUUGAUCAAGAACGAAAGUUAGGGGAUCGAAGACGAUCAGAUACCAU
rnacentral:rRNA from 1 species